rnacentral:tRNA from 1 species
GCCGAAGUGGCGGAAUUGGCAGACGCGCGCGACUCAAAAUCGCGUGGGCUUUCCCGUGUGGGUUCGAAUCCCACCUUCGGCA